UACGUAGGGUGCAAGCGUUGUCCGGAAUUAUUGGGCGUAAAGAGCUCGUAGGCGGUUUGUCGCGUCUGGUGUGAAAAUCCAGGGCUUAACCCUGACGUCGUCAUCGGGUACGGGCAGACUAGAGUGCGGUAGGGGGAGAUCGGAAUUCCUGGUGUAGCGGUGAAAUGCGCAGAUAUCAGGAGGAACACCGGUGGCGAAGGCGGAUCUCUGGGCCGUAACUGACGCUGAGGAGCGAAAGCAUGGGGAGCAACAGGAUUAGAACUACCGUAGUCAGUCCAAGACC
rnacentral:rRNA from 1 species